GGUUAAAACUCAAAGGAAUUGACGGGGCCCCGCACAAGCGGCGGAGCAUGCGGAUUAAUUCGAUGCAACGCGUAGAACCUUACCUGGGUUUAACAUGGAUCGGGAGUGCUCAGAGAUGGGUGUGCCUCUUUUGGGGUCGGUUCACAGGUGGUGCAUGGCUGUCGUCAGCUCGUGUCGUGAGAUGUUGGGUUAAGUCCCGCAACGAGCGCAACCCUUGUUCACUGUUGCCAGCACGUUAUGGUGGGGACUCAGUGGAGACCGCCGGGGUCAACUCGGAGGAAGGUGGGGAUGACGUCAAGUCAUCAUGCCCCUUAUGUCCAGGGCUUCACGCAUGCUACAAUGGCUGGUACAGAGAGUGGCGAGCCUGUGAGGGUGAGCGAAUCUCGGAAAGCCGGUCUCAGUUCGGAUUGGGGUCUGCAACUCGACCUCAUGAAGUCGGAGUCGCUAGUAAUCGCAGAUCAGCAACGCUGCGGUGAAUACGUUCCCGGGGCUUGUACACACCGCCCGUCAAGUCAUGAAAGUUGGUAACACCCGAAGCCGGUGGCCUAACCGUUGUGGGGGAGCCGUCGAAGGUGGGACUGGUGAUUAGGACU
rnacentral:rRNA from 1 species